CUAAGGUGUCUUGGCUAAGGUGUCUUGGCUAAGGUGUCUUGGCUAAGGUGUCUUGGCUAAGGUGUCUUGGCUAAUGUGUCUUGGCUAAUGUGUCUUGGCUAAGGUGUCUUUACUAAGGUGUCUUGGCUAAGGUGUCUUGGCUAAGGUGUCUUGGCUAAGGUGUCUUGGCUAAUGUGUCUUGGCUAAGGUGUCUUGGCUAAGUUGUCUUGGCUAAGGUGUCUUGGCUAAGGUGUCUUGGCUAAGGUGUCUUGGCUAAUGUGUCUUGGCUAAGGUGUCUUGGCUAAGGUGUCUUGGCUAAGGUGUCUUGGCUAAGGUGUCUUGGCUAAGGUGUCUUGGCUAAUGUGUCUCGGCUAAAGUGUCUUGGCUAAGGUGUCUUGGCUAAGGUGUCUUGGCUAAGGUGUCUUUGCUAAUGUGUCUCGGCUAAUGUGUCUUGGCUAAGGUGUCUUGGCUAAGGUGUCUUGGCUAAGGUGUCUUGGCUAAUGUGUUUUGGCUAAUGUGUCUUGGCUAAGGUGUCUUGGCUAAUGUGUCUUGGCUAAGGUGUCUUGGCUAAGGUGUCUUGGCUAAUGUGUCUUGGCUAAGGUGUCUUGGCUUAUGUGUCUCGGCUAAUGUGUCUUGGCUAAUGUGUCUUGGCUAAUGUGUCUUGGCUAAGGUGUCUUGGCUUAUGUGUCUCGGCUAAUGUGUCUUGGCUAAUGUGUCUUGGCUGAUGUGUCUUGGCUAAGGUGUCUUGGCUAAUGUGUCUUGGCUAAGGUGUCUCGGCUAAGGUGUCUUGGCUUAUGUGUCUUGGCUAAGGUGUCUUGGCUAAUGUGUCUUGGCUAAGGUGUCUUGGCUAAUGUGUCUUGGCUAAUGUGUCUUGGCUAAUGUGUCUUGGCUAAGGUGUCUUUUCUAAGGUGUCUUGGCUAAGGUGUCUUGGCUAAUGUGUCUUGGCUAAGGUGUCUUAGCUAAGGUGUCUUGGCUAAUGUGUUUUGGCUAAGGUGUCUUGGCUUAUGUGUCUUGGCUAAGGUGUCUUGGCUAAGGUGUCUUGGCUAAGGUGUCUUGGCUAAUGUGUCUCGGCUAAGGUGUCUUGGCUAAUGUGUCUUGGCUAAGGUGUCUUGGGUAAUGUGUCUUGGCUAAAGUGUCUUGGCUAAGGUGUCUUGGCUAAUGUGUCUCGGCUAAAGUGUCUUGGCUAAGGUGUCUUGGCUAAGGUGUCUUGGCUAAGGUGUCUUGGCUAAGGUGUCUUGGCUAAUGUGUCUCGGCUAAGGUGUCUUGGCUAAUGUGUCUUGGCUAAUGUGUCUUGGCUAAGGUGUCUUGGCUAAGGUGUCUUGGCUAA